GCUAGCUUCGGCAACACUUAUAAUAAAAUGGGAAAGAUACAGAGAAGAUUAGCAUGGCCCCUGUGCGUGGGUGACAUGCAAAUUUGGGAAGCAUUCCACUUGUUU